AAUAUCAAUGCAUUGCGUUGGCUUUGGGAGAAACUUUCGUCUGAAUUUGGGUAUACUCACUUCAAAACGAAUUACGCAUUGCAAGAUUGUGUGGAGAACCUUUUCUCAGAGAUCAGACGGCGGUGCGGCAGGAAAAUAGACGUAUAAAAAUUAGACCGCUAAUGUCGCUGCAAAUGUUGUGACCAACAUCUAGUUUGCAUGUUUCAGAGGUGGUACUCAAAGUGUCAAAUUUUUCUUCAAUUCAAUCAUAGUAACGUGUUUUCGAAAUCAAAACAUAAUCUCUGUCAUAGUUCUUGCCAUCGUACUUGAGUCGUGUUGACUUGAGAAAAAAAAGUUUUUCGUGUGCAAAGGAAAACAUCUUCAAUUGGUGUCGUUCCACAGGAUCGCAUAGAUUGAGGAUGUCAAUGAAAGACAAUACGGAUGGCGGAUUAGCUUUUGCUCCUAGUUCUUUCAACCUGCUGCAGGAAAAAGUUUUUGUCUGCUACUGUUUGACCAUAUGUAAGGAAGAAACCGUGAAGAUCAAAUGUUUCUAUGUUUGCACAUUCCAAAUUGAUUUUUAUUAUUUAUGGUUGGGCGAAGAGAAAAAGUUGUAGCAAAUAAACGUUUUUUUUUAUUCAAA